rnacentral:lncRNA from 1 species
UCUUUCCUCCCGUGAAUAUAUCAUUUUCUCUUUAGCUCUCUAUGUAUCAUCUUCCUAAAUGAUAUCUAUCAUUUCCUUAUCUGUACUUCCAUACAUCUCUUGACCAUUACAGGUCAUUUUAAAAUAGCAUGAUGAAUGAUCACCAAUAGAAUUAUUUGAGGAAAUUUCACCUAUUGGACCCUGGUCUGUUUCUGUUCUUCCUCCAUCAUUGUCCCACGAUAUAUAUGAAGAACUCUCCAGUCUCCAUAGAUUCUGAACAUUUUAUUAUGUUGCAACAACUCACUACACUGUUUGCUCCCUGAAAGCAUACUCUAGAAUUUAAUGGACUGUCCACUACCACUGACAAUUGCCUAGGAAAACAUAGGAGCAGCUAUCUGAUGAAAUAACAAGGAGCUUACAUAUAAAGAAUUCAAGAAUGACUUUCCAUGAUGAGAAGAAGGAAAUGGAAAUUGCUUCUAAAACACAGAUUUUAUAAUGUGGGUUAUCUACUCUUUUGAUAAAUAAAUGGAAACAUAGAAAUAAUUUUAGAAAGUAGCAAUGCAGUAUAAAAAUUUAUUAAUUGUUAUGUUAUAUAAACUAGAGACUUUCAUGAAGAAUUUAAGUGUUUUACAUUGUGACUUAACAAAUAAAAAAGGAGAAAAGGAGUACAAGUAAUGCAAAGAUCAAUGCUUGUAUAUAAUUAAUUGUUUAGUGAGUUUUUGUCACCUUGUGCUGAAUUUAAUGAAAAUAAAGCAAAUGACUUAUAAUUUUU